rnacentral:rRNA from 1 species
CCUACGGGAGGCAGCAGUGAGGAAUAUUGGUCAAUGGGCGUAAGUCUGAACCAGCCAAGUCGCGUGAGGGAUGAAGGCCCUAUGGGUUGUAAACUUCUUUUAUAUGGGAAUAAAGUGUGCGACGUGUGGCGUUUUGUAUGUACCAUAUGAAUAAGGAUCGGCUAACUCCGUGCCAGCAGCCGCGGUAAUACGGAGGAUCCGAGUGUUAUCCGGAUUUAUUGGGUUUAAAGGGAGCGUAGGUGGAUUGUUAAGUCAGUUGUGAAAGUUUGCGGCUCAACCGUAAAAUUGCAGUUGAAACUGGCAGUCUUGAGUAAAGUAGAGGUGGGCGGAAUUCGUGGUGGAGCGGUGAAAUGCUUAGAUAUCACGAAGAACUCCGAGUGCGAAGGCAGUUCACUGGACUGCAACUGACACUGAGGCUCGAAAGUGUGGGUAUCAAACAGGAGUAGAUACCCCUGUAGUC